rnacentral:rRNA from 1 species
AUUGAACGCUGGCGGCAGGCCUAACACAUGCAAGUCGAGCGGAUGAAGGGAGCUUGCUCCUGGAUUCAGCGGCGGACGGGUGAGUAAUGCCUAGGAAGCUGCCUGGUAGUGGGGGAUAACGUCCGGAAACGGGCGCUAAUACCGCAUACGUCCUGAUGGAGAAAGGGGUGGAUCUUCGGACCUCACGCUAUCAGAUGAGCCUAGGUCGGAUUAGCUAGUUGGUGGGGUAAAGGCCUACCAAGGCGACGAUCCGUAACUGGUCUGAGAGGAUGAUCAGUCACACUGGAACUGAGACACGGUCCAGACUCCUACGGGAGGCAGCAGUGGGGAAUAUUCGACAAUGGGCGAAAGCCUGAUCCAGCCAUGCCGCGUGUGUGAAGAAGGUCUUCGGAUUGUAAAGCACUUUAAGUUGGGAGGAAGGGAAGUAAGUUAAUACCUUGCUGUUUUGACGUUACCAACAGAAUAAGCACCGGCUAACUUCGUG